AAGGCUAAGCUAGUGGGGGCAAAGUUUCAGUGCAUUCUGUUGAUGUAGACGGCGUGAAAACGGAAACAAGAAGUAUGCCGUCUCAUUGUGCUGCAUACAAUUACACACUGCGUCGUACGAUUGAGACAAGGAAACCUGGAAUGACUUUUCAUAGGUUUCCCAGAGACUAUGGAUUGGAAGUUUGUCGGCUUAGACCUGGUGUCAUUCCAUCAGUGUUAAACUUCCCGGCUCAUCUUGGAAGAGUACGUGCCAGAAAGACCACGACCAAGCAGCCUUGAGAUCUUAGGCAGCGUCUCCCUGAGGUCCCUCUCUAUCUCCCCACACAUCCACCAACCACUGGAACACAUCUCCAAAGUUCUGCCGGGCCAGCUCAGCUUCCCCUCAGAAGAAGUGCCACCACCUGCCAGAUGAAGGAGCCUUUUGAGAGGCAGCUGGCAUCGUGAUUGGACUGUACUUUGGUCUGUUCCAAUCCAGCUUCAGCUCCAGAGACGGCAGGCGGGACGAGUCAACGGAGGCCUGGUGGACGAAGACAUGCAGCUGAGUACAAUCCAGAAAACAACAGAGGAGGAGUGCAGCAGCCAGAACAAGCAGAGUAGCAUCACCAAAGAACUACAGACUCUUCACAACCUGCUCAAACUCUUGGUACAGGACCUCACCACACGGAUCAAGAAGGUUUCUGUCUCAUUUCUACUCUGAAGCUCACCUUCUCCUGCUCAAACCGCUGCCAAAUGUUUCUGCUGCUCUAAAGUCUGCUCUCCAGAACUUCCUAAAAACUCUCAAAGUCUCUUCUGCUGCAGGUUGCUUUGUAGAACUGUUCCAGAAAACCUCACUAAACCACAUGGAGGGGCCUCAAGAUAGUCGUCCAAAUGAAACUGUACAAAAACCAAACUAGUAAAACCCAAACGCUAAAGUCUCCUGCAGCCUACCAGAGAACCUCUGAGAACAGAGAAUCAGGACAGAAACUCUUACCUUCUGGACAACCAACGCUGGUUCACAAACAAGAAUACAGAAUGUGUCUGACCAAAAACCUCUGAAGACUCACUACAGCCAAGAUAAAGACACAACUCACCUGCACCAAAUCCACUAAUCACUGCACACAUUAGCACCAUGUGCUAACUGUGGCUAAAGAACCACAUUUACCAAGACAACUAUCCAGUACAAAGCCCUAAAACACACCAAGAAACACAUUAAAGACGAUUUUACUGCUGGAAGCUGCAAGCCAACGCCUAAAGAACAAACUGAAGCAAUGGAGACAAACUCGGUUCACUGGUGAAGAGAAUCAGAGGAAAUGUUUGUCUGCAGCUAAAUAAAGCAGGAAGACACUGAGCUUCUCAGGUGUUCCUGAUAACACCAAGCAGCCACCUGGACAGCCAAUAGGAACACAGCCACCUGGACAGCCAAUAGGAACACAGCCACCUGGACAGCCAAUAGGAACACAGCUUCCUGGAAGUCCAGAGAGCUGGGUUAGUGAAGGAAAUUUAGUUUAAAGUUGAAGCAGAAAGUUAACAAAGAAAGUUGAAAACCACCUUCUGACACCUGAAAUCUCUGAGUUUUCACACAAAGAACGCCUGAACAUGUCAAACUGGUUCCAUGGUAGAACCAUCAUUGUAAAAAUGUCAUAGUAUGGUGUGUUGCUCAAAAAACAUUAGGACCCGGCUGUCAGGGGACAAACAUGUAAGAAACAUGAGAACAGAGAGAACCCAACCAGUAGGUCACAGUUUAUCAUCCCCCAGUCAUCUCCUGAAGUCCAUAUGGUGAGAGACAUCAGUAUCUGGUUGUUAAUUUACCAGAGAAUGCUUAUAAUCAUGCUGAUGUGGUCUGUACUCUACAGUAUUUUAGUGACUCAAUAAAUGCCUAAGUUGUUUUUUUUAAAUGCUUUUUAGUUUUUAAUAAACAUUUAAUAGCCUAUAUGUAAUCAAUAAAUGGCCUUUGCCUAUCUUAAGAAAAAUUCACUCAGAACUCUGAUAUGUUAACAGUACUAAAUAAAUCAAUAAAUACAUGCAUACACACAUAAAUAAGUUAAUACAUUAACUGUGUUAAGAUUUAGAUUUUUAAAAAGUUGUUUAUGUUUUUGCAGAAUCCAGUAUUGCUCACUGGUUGGUCAUUACAUUUUAUUAGUUUGAUUUCACUGUUUAAAAUGAUGCCACCUCUUUUCAGACAGAACCUGUGAUAAUAAAACAAUACAAAAUAUUUAGUUCCAUGUUAAUAAAGCACUUAAAGCUUUAAGUAUGGCUAAAUGCUUUUUUCAAAAUUAAAUAUAUCACUCCUUAGGUGGUAGUGGCCCCAAGUUCAGUAAAGUUGGAAAGAUAUUCACAGAUUCACACUUCCAGCAUCAAUAACUCAUUAGAUAUAGGUUGUCAAAACAUAAACGGUGCCUCUUUCCCAUUGUUGCAAGGCAGACAAUGUGCUACAAGCCCAGUUUUAUCAAAAGUAGCUGUCUUUCAAGCUACAGGAAUAACAUUGGUGUCUAUGGAGUGAACAGGGUCCGUCUGCAAUUUGCAAAACCGCUGCAACAGUAAAGAGAGACAAAUAUUCAAUAACUUCACUCUUAUACAUUGUAGUGUCACUAAAAUCACUGCAGCCUUCAACUGGCUCCUGUUGACAAAGUGUUUUAGCAGAAAUGUAAAUGCUGUAAUUUGAUUCUUUUAAUGAACCAUGUAACUUGAAUGGAUGUGAUGCUGGUGUGACCACAGUGCACACGUCUGAUGUUGCUCACAGUGGUCCAAGGGACGCUCAGGGAGUUUGUGUGUUUGCUCACACUCAGGAAAAAUUAGAGGGAACAUUGGCUUGCUUCUUAAUUUCUCCCCACAGUCAUGGUUUCUUCCACCGUACCCACUAUACAUUUUAAUAGAGGUUUAAUUAGUACCUUAUUUCUACAUCAGAAUGAUCCAGUUAAUCCCGAGCUGUAGUGACAACCAGCUAACAAAUCGCUAAUUAGCACUAAACAAAGUACAGUCGAUGUCUGUUGGAAUGGAAUUAGUUUGACAGAUAUCUUGUCAUCCACUGAAGUAUUGGACAAACUGACAUUUUAAUGUGAUGGUGGUGCUAAUAAAGGGGUUUUGAGGCAAUCCAUCCUGACCAUUACCCCAUCCAGGCCUUCAAUGUUUUGGCUAAAUGUGCAGCUGACAGAUGUUUAGAGCAACAUGUAUUUAUUUGCCUUUAUCUCAUUCAGCUGUGACAGAAAAUGGUGAGAGAGAGAAGGAGGAUGACCCCUGAAAACAAUACCCUGCAGCAACAGCGUAUUUGUUUUCUGGCGAUUCUCUAUGGAAUCAAAGUGGUUCCAUAGGGAAAUCAGAGUGCCAUAAUAAAAGAUAAAUCUGAUUUUUUAAAAAAGGAAAUAAAUGUGUAAAGAUAAGGAUAAGGAUAAACUUGGGGUGUGAUCACCGAUAAAGAGGAAUAAAAAAAAACAAUCUGUUGAAAAUAAGGAGAGAAAUGUGUAAAUAUAAAAAGGAAUAAAUAAAAUAAUAAAUAAAUCUGUUAAAAUAUAAGGAAAUAAAUGUGUAAAUAUGAAGAGGCAUAAAUAAAUAAAUAAAUAAUCUAUUAAAAAAUAAGGAAAUAAAUGUGUAAAUAUAAAGAGGACUAAAUAGUAGAUUAAAAUAAAUCAAUUAAAAAGUAUGGAAAUAUAAAGGUAAAUGUUGUCUUUGCUUUUCCCUUUUCCCUUUGUUUUUUCCUUUUGUCAUUGCUUUUACUUGAUGGACUGAGCUGUCAAUCAAAUGACUUUGGGCGGGGCUUUCUGUCCAGGGUGAGUAGUUGAUACCUUGGUCACAGGAUUCCUGUUUCGCGCUUGCUCAUAGACUGUCUGUGGAUCAGGUAUUGACUCAGUCCAUCAAAUAAAAGUGAAGGCAAAAUGGAAAAAGCAAUGACAAAAUGGGAAAACAAAAGGAAAAAACUAAGAGAAAAGGGAAAAGAAAAGACAAAACUUACCUUUAAAUUUACAUAUUUUUUAUUUUAUUUUUUAUUCUUUUAUUUUUUGCUCUUUUUUUUUACACCUUUAUUUCCUUUUUUUAAACAGAUUUAUCUUUUAUUCUGGCACUCCUGUGAUUCCGUAAUUCACUGCAUCCUAUAAAUCUGUGGAUGAAGAGGCACCUUGAGCUGUUGCAUCCUCAGGAUUUCACCAUAUAGUUGCCUAAGAAACUAUUCAGACCCCUUCACUUUUUACAUAUCAUAAAGUUGUAGUUUUCAUUUGAAAAUAAUGAAAAAAAAAGGCAUUUUUCUCCUCGAUUUAAACUCAGCAUUACAAACCAACCAAAGUGAAAACAUUAUUUUUGGAAAUUUUUGCAAAUUUAUUCUAAUCUAAAACUGAAACCUCUCAUUUAGGAAAGCAUUCAGACCUCUUGGUAUGGCACCAAAGAUUGUGUCCAGGUGCAUCCUUUUUGCUUUAAUGAUCCUUGAGAUGCAUCUAGAAUUUAAUCCACACUGGGCAUAGCUGAGAAAGACACACACCUGCGUUUAUAUAAUCUGACAAUACAAACUGCAUAUCAGGAGAAAUCCUGAGCCACGAAUUCUGAGGAACUUUCUGUAAACCUCAAUGAUGAAAAUGUCACACAGGAGAGAAAAUGUAUGAAAUCAUGUUUAAAGCUUUGAGUCUUCCCAUGAACACAGAGGUAAUUAUAAGAUGCCAUUUGACAGAACUGAGUAAAAGAAAACCCGGCAAUGACAGAACUGCACUGUGUUUAAUAACCAAGGUUUACAGGCUGAUCGUUGGACCAAAGAAGUGACAUAGAAAUUGGAAGUGUAGUGAUUUUGACAGCGUGGGAAAAAUGGAAGAGAGAACGGAGCAGUGAGAAAAGCUCACAUUGGCAGUGAAUGAACAAAUCUUCUGUAUUAAAACUACACCCAGGUUUCAUCCAGAGGAAUCCGUGAGCAUGAAGAAAAAGAUUCUCUGAUCUGAUGAGUCCAAAGCUGAACUAUUUAUGCAGCGUCUGGUGAACUUAAGGCUGUUAAAAUGAUCUCUUCUGUGCAGCAAAUUCACCGUCUUGUGAUCCAGGCAAGUGAAAAAAUGAAGAGCAGAAGUAAACAGCAUUAGCAUGAAACCAAUGGCGGGAUCAAUAAACACACUGAGGAAUGAUGACAGUUUG